UACCCGCUGAACUUAAGCAUAUCAAUAAGCGGAGGAAAAGAAACCAACAGGGAUUACCUCAGUAACGGCGAGUGAAGCGGUAAAAGCUCAAAUUUGAAAUCUUCGGAAUUGUAAUUUGAUGGAUAAAAUUGCCACGGACAAAAGUUCACUGGAAAGUGACGCCGUAGAGGGUGAUAGCCCCGUUUACGUCCACCGGCACUAUAAUUUUAUUCCAAAGAGUCGGGUUGUUUGGGAAUGCAGCUCAAAGUGGGUGGUAAAUUCCAUCUAAAGCUAAAUAUUGACGAGAGACCGAUAGCGAACAAGUACAGUGAUGGAAAGAUGAAAAGAACUUUGAAAAGAGAGUGAAACAGUACGUGAAAUUGUUGAAAGGGAAGGGGAGGGAAGAUGUUAAAGGGACUCCUUCUUUGUAGGGAUCCCCGCCAAAAAGUCUUUCCUCUCGCCCGUCUUGAAACACGGACCAAGGAGUCUAACGAUUAUGCAAGUAUUUGAGUCAACCCCCAAAUGCGUAAUGAAAGUAAUUGGUCAACCCUACCCUCCUGUCCUAAAGGGCGGGAGAGGAAGCAUAAUUAUUAGGACCCGAAAGAUGGUGAACUAUACCUGGAUAGGGUGAAGCCAGAGGAAACUCUGGUGGAAGCUCGUAGCGGUUCUGACGUG
rnacentral:rRNA from 1 species